UUUGCACAAAAAGUUUGGCUUGGGUUAGAGUGGAGAGAAGAAGAAGAAUGGCUAAAGUCCUAGGCAUACAAAAGGUGAGGGAUAAAGAAUAAGACCACAAUGGAGUUCCUCCCUUGAGAUCAUAUUGAUGAUCCAAGUAGCUCUCAUCCUUUGGAAUAAGCAAUCACAUAAGCAUAAACUCAAGCAAUCAAUAAUCAAUGAAUUCUUGGAAAAGCUCCC
rnacentral:lncRNA from 1 species